AGCGAACGCUGGCGGCAGGCCUAACACAUGCAAGUCGAGCGCCCAGCAAUGGGAGCGGCAGACGGGAUAGUAACACGUGGGAACGUACCUUUCAGUUCGGAACAACCAAGGGAAACUUUGGCUAAUACCGAAUACGCCCGUAAGGGGAAAGAUUUAUCGCUGAAAGAUCGGCCCGCGUCUGAUUAGCUAGUUGGUGAGGUAAUGGCUCACCAAGGCGACGAUCAGUAGCUGUUCUGAGAGGAUGAUCAGCAUCACUGGGACUGAGACACGGCCCAGACUCCUACGGGAGGCAGCAGUGGGGAAUAUUGGACAAUGGGCGAAAGCCUGAUCCAGCCAUGCCGCGUGAGUGAUGAAGGCCUUAGGGUUGUAAAGCUCUUUCGUCAGGGAAGAUAAUGACGGUACCUGAAGAAGAAGCCCCGGCUAACUUCGUGCCAGCCGCCGCCGUAAGAC
rnacentral:rRNA from 1 species